rnacentral:rRNA from 1 species
UACGUAGGGUGCGAGCGUUGUCCGGAAUUACUGGGCGUAAAGGGCGCGUAGGCGGCCUGCUAAGUCGAACGUGAAAUCCCUGGGCUCAACCCAGGAACUGCGUCCGAUACUGGUUGGCUUGAAUUCGGGAGAGGGAUGUGGAAUUCCCGGUGUAGCAGUGAAAUGCGUAGAUAUCGGGAGGAACAUCCGUGGCGAAGGCGGCCACCUGGACCAACAUUGACGCUGAGGCACGAAAGCGUGGGGAGCAAACAGG